AGUGGUCUUUUCCUCCACUUUUACCCCAAAAAUGAGGUAAAAAUAUGGGGAUUUAUAGUUUUGGGCCCAAAACUGAGGUGAAAAACGAGGAAUUUGGGGAGUUUUAGCCCAAAAGUGAGGCGGAAAAUGGAGAUUCAGAGAGUUUUGGGCCCAAAAUUGAGGUGGAAAAUGGAGAUUCAGAGAGUUUUGGGCCCAAAAUUGAGGUGGAAAAUGGAGAUUUACCAUCUUGGGCCCAAAAGCAAGGUAAAAAAAGAGGCAUUUAGUGAGGUUUGUCCCAAAAAAUUGGGUGAAAAAAGGAAGAUUUAGGGUGUUUUGGGCCUAAAUUGAGGUGGGAAAGGGGGAUGUAGGGAAUUGCAGUCCCCAAAAUGAGGUGAAAAAGGGAGGUUUA